AGCUGCCGUGAUCCCGGCCCCGCCUGGGUACCGGCCCCUCCCGUGGCCACCGGCGGGCUGGGAGCAGUAGCCACGCAGCUCAGGCAGCGUCUGCAGCCACGCUUGGCAGGAGAGCCAGAGAGAAACCUCAUCCCUGAGCGAAACUGCGGAGUUUCUGCUGAGUCACAGCCAUCAGGGAAUGGGGAGAGCAAUUACAGCCGAAAACUGGGAAGGCAUCCCAAACAAAUUGGUUAUAAUUAACAAGUAGAAGAAUAACACCAGUAAUACCAUUAGCAGGCCCAAAAGCCAUUUGCAAUAUAAUAUCUGUAAUUAGACAGCGCUCAGCAGCAGCCGGGGCUGAGCUGUUUGCCCCGGGAGGGGAGGGCAGGUGAGCCCGAGGCAUCGGGGCUGGGAUCCGGGGGUGGCGGGCACGGGACAGCACCCGGGAACAUCCAGGAACAUCCAGGAGUACCCAGGAGCACUCGGGAACACCCAGGAAUAUCCGGGAACAUCCAGAAACACCCAGGAACACCCGGGAACACCAGGGAGCACCCAGGAACAUCCAGGAGCACCCAGGAACAUCCAGGAACACCCAGGAGUAUCCAGGAACAUCCAGGAACACCUGGGAACAUCCAGGAAUAUCCAGGAGCACCCGGGAACAUCCAGGAACAUCCAGGAACACCUGGGAACACCCAGGAGUAUCCAGAAACAUCCAGGAGCACUCAGGAACAUCCAGAAACACCCAGGAAGACCUGGGAACACCAGGGAGCACUCAGGAAUAUCCAGAAACACCCAGGAACAUCCAGGAGCACUUGGGAACACCCAGGAGCGCCCAGGAACACUUGGGAACACCCAGGAGCAUCCAGAAACAUCCAGGAGUAUCCAGCAACACCCAGGAACACCCAGGAGCGCCCGGGAACAUCCAGGAGCACUCGGGAAUAUCCAGGAAUAUCCAGGAAUACCCGGGAACAUCCAGAAACACCUGGGAACACCCGGGAGCACUCAGGAAUAUCCAGGAACAUCCAGGAACACCUGGGAACAUCCAGGAGCACCCAGGAACAUCCAGGAGCGCCCAGGAACACUUGGGAACAUCCAGGAACACCCAGGAGUAUCCAGGAGCACUCGGGAACAUCCAGGAGCACCCAGGAACACCCAGGAGCACCCAGGAACACCCAGGAGAACCCAGGACCAUCCAUAAGCAUCCCAGAGUGACCUGGCUCCAGCCACGGGGCAGGAGGGGGAUGUCCAUGGGAUUGAAUGUCCUGGGCCAUUCCCACCCCUGGCAGUGUCCAAGGCCAGGUUUCCCUGCCCAUGGCAGAGGUGCCACUGCAUCAGCUGGGAGCUCCCUUCCAGCCCAACCUGGAGCUGCUGGGGCUGGACCCAACCCAGGAUCCUCCUUCCCGCUGUCCCUUAGGCCCGGCCAGAACAAUUCCAGCUCUUUGGAGCCGUCUCUGCUGCCGGGAGGCUCCGGGGGGCUCCCCCUGUCCCCAGCGCCCGCAGCCCCAGCCCAGGGGGACACGCGGUGGGGCUCCCGGAGCCGCCGGGAAACCUCACCGGGCCCGGAAGGGUCUGGAGGGGACGGCAAAGGUCUCAUCCAGCCCCUGCACCCUGCAGGGACAUCUGCG
rnacentral:lncRNA from 1 species